rnacentral:rRNA from 1 species
ACGGAAGGCAGCAGUGGGGAAUAUUGCACAAUGGGCGAAAGCCUGAUGCAGCGACGCCGCGUGAGUGAAGAAGUAUUUCGGUAUGUAAAGCUCUAUCAGCAGGGAAGAAAAAUGACGGUACCUGACUAAGAAGCACCGGCUAAAUACGUGCCAGCAGCCGCGGUAAUACGUAUGGUGCAAGCGUUAUCCGGAUUUACUGGGUGUAAAGGGAGCGCAGGCGGUACGGCAAGUCUGAUGUGAAAGCCCGGGGCUCGACCCCGGUACUGCAUUGGAAACUGUCGAACUAGAGUGUCGGAGGGGUAAGCGGAAUUCCUAGUGUAGCGGUGAAAUGCGUAGAUAUUAGGAGGAACACCAGUGGCGAAGGCGGCUUACUGGACGAUAACUGACGCUGAGGCUCGAAAGCGUGGGGAGCAAACAGGAUUAGAUACCCUGGUA